UACGUAGGGGGCAAGCGUUGUCCGGAAUAAUUGGGCGUAAAGAGCGUGUAGGCGGCCAGAUAAGUCCGCUGUGAAAUCUCGAGGCUCAACUUCGAGCUGUCGGUGGAAACUGUCUGGCUAGAGUCCGGAAGAGGAGAAUGGAAUUCCUGGUGUAGCGGUGAAAUGCGCAGAUAUCAGGAGGAACACCGGUGGCGAAGGCGGGUCUCUGGGCCGUAACUGACGCUGAGGAGCGAAAGCGUGGGGAGCGAACAGG
rnacentral:rRNA from 1 species